GUAAGGAUGAAGCCGUGCAGACAUAAAGAAGCAGAUGACUUGUUUGGAAUCUGCUAAGUGGAACUUGAACUUCAAAGACCCAACUUUACAGCCUCCGCGUCCAAGACUGAAGAGAGUUUCCUGAUGGUUCAUGAAAAGAUACCCAAGAUAGAAUGUUCUGGAUACUUUGCUAGGCCUUAUCAUCAGACAUGAGCCCGGAGGCCCACUACACAAUAUCAUCCAUCCUGCCUGGAUAAGAUGUGGUUGGUGUUUUGCUUUCUAUCCUCUGAUACCUCCAUUCUGGGGACAUUCCUUACAGAGGGGUAUGUGGCCAUCCCCAGUUAACUUCCUUGGGGUCUCAAUUAAAUGUCUUGCGUUUUACUUUAUCCAAUGACUGAUCUUUGCCUUCGAGGUUGUUCCAGAGAAGUAAGGAAAUGAUGAAAGGACCAAAAGGCAGACUGGAAUCUGUGCUAAGGACUUUCCAUAUAAAACAUCUGCCAGUCCCUCAGUGUUCUUAGAGCACAGACAGGGGUCCUUGUCAGGGUGCUCC
rnacentral:lncRNA from 1 species